GAUGAACGCUGGCGGAAUGCUUUACACAUGCAAGUCGAACGAUGAACCUUAGCUUGCUAAGGGGAUUAGUGGCGAACGGGUGAGUAAUGUAGCGGAACGUAUCCAAUAAUGGGGGAUAACUAGUCGAAAGAUUAGCUAAUACCGCAUACGUCCUACGGGAGAAAGCUAGGGACCUUCGGGCCUGGCGUUAAUGGAGCGGCCGAUAUCUGAUUAGCUAGUAGGUGGGGUAAAGGCUCACCAAGGCGACGAUCAGUAGCUGGUCAGAGAGGACGACUAGCCACACUGGAACUGUGACACGGUCCAGACUCCUACGGGAGGCAGCAGUGGGGAAUUUUGGACAAUGGGCGAAAGCCUGAUCCAGCCAUUCCGCGUGAGUGAAGAAGGCCUUCGGGUUGUAAAGCUCUUUCGCAAGAGAAGAAAACUUAAGCUCUAACAUAGCUUGAGGUUGACGGUACCUUGAUAAGAAGCACCGGCUAACUACGUGCCAGCCGCCGCGGUAA
rnacentral:rRNA from 1 species